GUCUAUGAGUUUGAGUGUCCCUCUAGUAUCUUUCGUCCCUCUUUUAAGUUGACGUUUUUUCUAAUUUUUGUUGGAAGCUAAAUAUUAACAUCGUUUUUUGUAUUGUGACAUAUAUUGUAUCUAGGAAUAGGUAUGCACAUAUUUUCUAAAGAUUGAAAUAACAAAUGAAAAGAAGGUCUACUGAUAGUUCACAAUUAUUUGUUUCAUUAAGAGUCGUAUCACUGAUUUUUAAAAUUUUACAGCAGGUUUGAGUAUUAUACCAGAUCCUUGCCCAGACAUCCAGCCAAGCACUCAAGUAACUGAUAUGUGCCAUAGUGGUUCGGCAAUGGAACAGAUAGGUGUAGCGAAAGACGGAAAUAUUAACUUUGAUCAUGUUACACUUCGUUCAAGGACACAGGAAGACAACUGCACAUGCCUUGUCUUUUUUGAAAAUCAAAGUUUAGACAAUAUUCAACUGUAUAUAGAACCAUAUAGAAUGUUACAAAGUUCAGCACCAAAAGAACCAGAAUGUGGAUUGGAACUGAACAUCGACUUUUAUCAGAUGGAAAAAGUACAACAAGAUAUGAUUUCAAUUAAAUGUUCAAGUGGACAAUAUUCUAAUUCGUUUCCGUUUUAUAAAAACAGUGUGUUAAGAUUUAUGUUCACAGUAAUUGAUGGAAGCUUCACCAGAGGAUAUUGUAUCGAUGUUCAAAGAGUACAUGUAACUGGUCAUAAUGGUACCCUUAAGAUUGUGUGUGGCGUUUCUGGGGUAAUACCAUCAACACAAAGCACAACACAGUCUACAAAUGACUUUACUGGUCAUCUGACAUCAACCGAACCCUCAAUCAACGAGCAUACGACUUCAUCAGAUGAUUCGACGAUAUACAUAGCAGUGGGGUCAUGCGUUGUUGGGUUUACAAUAGCAACGGUGUCUAUAGUAAUUAUUUUCUGCAUAAGAAAAUCAUCCAAGACAAUGGAACCAGUACCAACAGAUAACAUAAACAUGCAGUACGACAAUCUUGCUGAAUCCAGAAAUAUAUCAAACUAUAGCACUCUGAACAUACCAACCACCGAUGACCAGCAGUAUGAAAUAGUCACAUGAUAUGAUUUAUUAUUGAUAGUGAAAUUGAAUUACCGAUGGACAGUUAUAGUGUUUUGAAAAAUAGACUUACGGUAAAAUGUGUGUCUACAAAAUUAUUUGUGUUUUUGUGAUCUUUGAGGAUGUUAAAAAACCAGUCUGUACGGAAUCUGUAACAAUCACAUUAAUAAUUUGAACACAUGGUUGUCAGUGAAACGGAAAUACGAUUAUUAUGUCUAAUGUAUGAUAUGAAGCGUAUUUUGUAAUACCAAUUACUUUGGCUGUUUAAACGGGUAAAACUCUUGGGGUUAAAGCUCAUUUAAUUUUUCCCUGAUCAAUUGUAGACCAAAACAGGGGUCCCUAGGUAUGAGACCUGGUCUACUAAGUUAUUUCUAUGUCAACAGGUGCUUGUAUAAACAGAUUUGUUUUCGCUAAUGAAAACAAUUUAAAGACUGCAAAACAAAAAUAUUCGAAAAACAAAUAGUCCUUUCUAGUGUUGAUCCUUUUCCAAAUAGAAUUAUACAAAAUCCACUGUAUUCACUUGCAUAAUGUUAUAAUGCUCAUAUACAUAUAUAUGAUAAUGUUGAGUAUUACUCCUGAUCUCGAACUUCGUAGAACAAGCAACUUUCAAUUCUUAAGGCAUGUGAAUACGUGUCCACAUAAAAUGUAACAAAACUAUACAAGCGAAAAUAUAUUCAUAUAUCAAAUACAAUCAUCGAAUCCUCCUAGUAAAAACUGGAGCACCUAUAUCUAUCGUGAGAAAUUAGAAUUCUGAUUUAUACUUAUUAAAAUCCGGUACACAUCAGAAUUCAAUAUCUACAAAUAAAAUAAGGAUAUUAAUAUUUGUUUUAGGAGAAACCUUGAUUGUACUAAAGAAUAACCUAUAAUCAAAACAUUUGUAAAAAGUCAAAAUUAUAUAUCAAUAUAUUUACUUUUUCAUAAUGAAAUAAAUUGUUAAUCCAAAUUUUUCUUAAAAAAUGAAAGAGGCACGGUACACGUAUUAUUACACAGCAAAAUUGGCAACGAGAACCCCAAAAACAUCCGGGGGGAUCUUAGAUGAUCCGGAAUGGUUUGCAGAUCCUUUUCCACAUGUGAAAGCCGUCGUGUUACUCCUAUAAAAUACGCUGAUACUAGUAAUCGAUAUCAAAUGAUAAGGCAUCACACAAUAGCGGAUUGGUAAUCGACACCAUAGACAUAUAAUACAAGAGAUUCGCAACUCGGCGAAAUCCCGUAAAAACACGCGGCCACUAGUUAAACCUCGCGAGAUCUCCUUAUGUAAUAAAGUCAUUAAUACAAGUAUUAAAAGUACUCGAAGUAAGGACGAAUGUUUAAGCAUAACAUAAACUGUUUCAGUGUUCAUAAUUUGAGUUCAUAUAUAAUUAUUUAUUUUAAUGUAAUUUUGAUUUUAGAUUUGUAUUAUUGAAAAAGGGACAUAAUUUGAUAUUGUAUUAAAAAACAACUGAUAUUAAAUAAUUAACACUUGAUAAAUUGUAUCAGAGUUCAUUUUAUUUGAUAGUUUCAUAAUGGGUUUCUAUUGAAUAUACACCUGUCUCGGAGACAUAAUUUCACAGUGUGACAUGUAUAUUAGGUUUGAAUUAUUCGAUGACCAGGUAAAUCACGAGCAUGUUAUAAAUAAUGAGUUUUAAUUGACACCUUGUAAACAAGAAGUUGUUACACCACAGGUGCCCACACUCUUUUCAAAAAUACAAUUCACAAUAUGUAAAAUUAAUUAAUGUGGACAAAAACUUAAUUUAUUUGUUAAUUAAUUGUUAAUCAUGAUAGGCUUUGUUUUUUAUUCUUGAAAUUUAUAAAUUAUUAAAAUUUUAUUUAUUUUUAUAUUCAUCAUUAAUUGGGCUUGCAUUGAGUUUUUUCUGUAGGAAUGUCGGUAAAUGUUUGAUUUCUAAGUGUUGUUUGACAGUUUCAUCAUAGGCUUUAACUGAUUGUAGGUAAAUUUAUGGUUUCUUGUUCGAAGUGUGCAUUGAGAAUUGAUAUUUAAGAAAAUUACAAUUAAUUUCACAUUUGAAUAAAGCUUCAUUCAUGUGCACGCAAUAUGGAAAAUUCCGAUUUUAUUUCGUGGGAUGACAAUCUUAAUAGUUACGACUUAGAUAUACCUCUAGUUGAAUAAACUGAUAACGAACUCUUUGUUGAUAGUGAAAGUGAAAAUGAUGAAGACAUAAGCGAGAGACCCACCAACAAAAACAAUUGACAAUACUGCAUACAUAGAUUGAUAUGUGUGUCCUCGAAGCAACAAAAAAUCUAUAAAAAAACACAACAUUGAAGUGGGAGCCAAGGUCAUACAUCAAAGCAACAUGGAAGACACUAUUUAAAAAGUAUUUUAUAACCUUAUUUCCACGAGACAAUCAUUUGUAGUGGUUUCUGUCUUUUAAUCAUUUGUAGUGUUUUUUGUCUUUCUAUUCUGGGGUAGAGAGAUGGCAGUUAAAAGUAAGAUUGUUUAUGUGUAUACAUAUACAAAUCAUUGGUGUAAAUUAAAUCUUUUAUUAUCAAAUAUAUAUAUAUAUAUAUAUAUCUUUUGCAGUCACCAUUGAAAUGUCCUCAAUACGAUUUUAAUUUAAAAACGAAUUAGGUUCAUGUUUUGAAUGAGAAGCGUAGUCUGAAACGACAACAGAUGCAUGAAGCUCAUUCAUAAUAUUACGACCAGCAGAAGGUUUCCUUUACUAGGAAAAUUUUACUCCUUUUGUAAAUUUACUGCAUUCGUUCAUCUUUGGCACCCUAAAAAGAAGAAAAAUACAAUGACUUCAGAAUAGGAGAAAAUAAACAACUUUGCUAUAAACAGAAUGAAAAAUGAAUAAAUUGCCUAACAAAAUGCAGGCUAUAAAUUUAAUAGUGCACAAAAAUGAAGGACUGAUUUAAGGAAAUUUGUCCAUGAACAAUUUCAAUAUUUAGCCAGUUUAAUAAAAAAAAAAAAAAAAAAAAAGAAAGGAAAAGAAAAGAAAAGAAAAAAAAAUUGGGAGUAAUAUAUAUCCCCAUAAUAUGACAUUUAUUUGUAAAUUUCUAGUUUUGACGAAACAGAUUGAUAAAAUUAGCAUAGCUGGCUUUGUGUAUAAAUAACAAAAUAAUAGUCACCUUUGUUGAUAUUUUUAGAAAUAACUGUUGGAUCAAAUUUUACGAAACUGGUCUUAUUUUCACGACAUAACAUCUGAGAGUAAUAUAGCCCCAUACAAUUGAAUAUUUAUUCGCACAUUUCCAAGUUUUACGAAAUAAAAUGAUAGUACCAGUACAGCUGGUUUCGGGUAUCAAUAAGAAAAAAUCGCCACAUUUGUUGAUAAUUUUGAAAAAAAACCACUAUUGGAUCAAAUUUUACGAAAAUAGUUUUAUUUUCACGAAACAACAUUUGGGAGUAUUAUUGCCCCAUAAAAUUAUAUAUUUAUUAGCAUAUUUCCAAGUUUUAAGAAAAAAAUUGGGAGAUCAAAUGGUUUCUACGGCAAUAGGAGGUGAAGUAAAAUGGGCCGAGUUUUAACUUUGUUUGUUUUUGAUUAAUCUCAUCAUUAGAACACAUUUAAUCAAUAACAAAU